rnacentral:rRNA from 1 species
UUUCACUCCUACGGGAGGCAGCAGUGGGGAAUAUUGCACAAUGGGGGAAACCCUGAUGCAGCCAUGCCGCGUGUGUGAAGAAGGCCUUCGGGUUGUAAAGCACUUUCAGUAGGGAGGAAGGUAGUGUAGUUAACACCUGCACUAUCAUUUGACGUUAGCUGCAGAAGAAGCACCGGCUAACUCCGUGCCAGCAGCCGCGGUAAUACGGAGGGUGCGAGCGUUAAUCGGAAUUACUGGGCGUAAAGCGCAUGCAGGUGGUUUGUUAAGUCAGAUGUGAAAGCCCGGGGCUCAACCUCGGAAUUGCAUUUGAAACUGGCAGACUAGAGUACUGUAGAGGGGGUAGAAUUUCAGGUGUAGCGGUGAAAUGCGUAGAGAUCUGAAGGAAUACCGGUGGCGAAGGCGGCCCCCUGGACAGAUACUGACACUCAGAUGCGAAAGCGUGGGGAGCAAACAGGAUUAGAUACCCUGGUAG